UUAGUUGUACUGUGGUAUAUAGUGACCUCUUGGCUGUGUUAGUAAGGUUAGUUGUACUGUGGUAUAUAGUGACCUCUUGGCUGUGUUAGUAAGGUUAGUUGUACGGUGGUAUAUAGUGACCUCUUGGCUGUGUUAGUAAGGUUAGUUGUACGGUGGUAUAUAGUGACCUCUUGGCUGUGUUAGUAAGGUUAGUUGUACGGUGGUAUAUAGUGACCUCUUGGCUGUGUUAGUAAGGUUAGUUGUACGGUGGUAUAUAGUGACCUCUUGGCUGUGUUAGUAAGGUUAGUUGUACUGUGGUAUAUAGUGACCUCUUGGCUGUGUUAGUAAGGUUAGUUGUACUGUGGUAUAUAGUGA